GAAACAGAAGAGGACCACCGAGAAGACGACAAGUUGAAGAAAUUGUUUAUGUUGUUUUUAAUCGUCAAAAGGUUAAGAAGUUGUUUGCCAUGUCGUACGGUAUAAGAAGAAAUGUGAGGCAUAGGAGGACCUUGGAAAAUUGACUGGAGAAGGAGGGGGGCCCGGAGUAAAAAAGCAUCCUACGCAUUUUCAGUCCAAACCUGAUGCAGAACAGUUCUGCCGGGACAAGGGGUUUGAAUGUCCCUGCUGCAGUUUCACCACUAAAGAAAAGUUCUCUUUUACAUUUCACAUGGAGAACCACAUAAGCCAUGCAGUGGAGCAUGAAGGUAUAGUGUUACUUCAUCUCAAAAUGCAAUAAACUGUGCAGGACCACAGCUCAUUUUCACUGUCUUUACUGCAGCCAGACAGUAAUACGCAAGGACCAAUACAUACAGCAUGUUUCCAAAUGCUCCAAGGCAGAAGCAUUGUCAUCACCAUCACCACCUCCAUCUCCCUCUGUAGAUGCGUGCCCGACACCCCCACCCCCACCCCCAUCCACUUUUGUUACCGAAUCUCCAGUCUCUACCCCCUUUUCCUCUGAUCCUGACUCCUUUGCAUCACCUCCAAAAAUUCAAAGGAAGAGAGAGACAGUCACGUGUUUUCAUUGUGGAAUGUCACUUAACAAAAAAAAUGUAAAGCUGCAUAUUCUGAGACGACAUACACCAAGAAAAAUGGACAUUACCUCUCAGAACCACCUUAAGUCACAGUGUGUGGAUUAUACAAAUGGUGUCUAUGCGGUAGCCAAAUCAUUUUCAGCACCCAGCACUCCGAUCCAUGUCAUCAAAAAGACGUGGGGCUUGGAACAAAGAACAACAUGUGAACUUGACGCCUGCAGAAUUAACACAGAAUUUGCAGAAAGAUCAAACAUCCGUUCCUAUGAGUGCCAUCAUCUUCGAUCGCUUGCAUACUGUCCACCGGCUGAAAGGGACAUUCCCUUACUGACAGAGCAAGCUUUACAGACUAUAGUUGAUGAUCAUUGGAUUGGGGAGGACAAGAAGGACAGAUGUUUGGCAUGGCAGAGAGAGGCAAUUGAUGCAGGAGUCCCUCUUUCUUGUCUAGUGAACAUUUGUGGACCCAGCCACAAAAAGUACAUUUCUGUGCUCGAGCCCACCAUUUCUUUCUACAGCAGGCUUGGUCGGGUCAUGGUUACAUAUGAUACCAAAACCAUUUCUUGGCUUUGCCCUUGUGCCAAACCAAAGCAGCCAUGCCUUCACAAAUAUGUUGCAAAGUGGCACCUGUUUGAAGUGGACAGGGAGCUCUUCCGGAAAACCACAAGUGAAGAAAGGAAGUGCAAUUGAGGUCUAGGAGAGGACCUCGGGUAAAGACUUUCCUUCAAAAACAAGGAUCAUGCAGGCCUACUUAAAGGGGAAAGGGCAUCUGUGCAGUUGAUACUAAUGUUGUUGCCACUUUUUGUCCACCUCAUCUUCAAGACAUUUUUGAGUAAGCACUUCUUUUUUUGUACCCAUUUCUACACAUUGUUGACUGAUGCAUGAAAUGCCAUUUGUGUUAUUCCUUUUAUAAUGGCCUUUUUUUUGUGUGUUGGCUUUCUUAUUUAUAUUUGAAGUGGGUGCUUUUGGUGUGAUAUUGGGGCAACUUUGCUAAAUUUGGAUUUAGUCACAGUAUCUUUGUUAAAUGUGCAAUGCAAAUAGCAAAAUGACCCUGCAGAGAAAUGCGUUGUUUUUGGGUUUUUUUUUUUCAUUAUCACAUAUAGGAUGAUGCAGCAUCGAAGGACAAAUCUUUGAAUUGCAAAUGGUUUCCGCUCUCUGACUUGUAAACAACUCCUAAUUAAUGUCAUUAACAUAUGUGACCCUGGACCACAAAACCAGUCUUAAGUCGCUAGGGUAUAUUUGUAGCAAUAGCCAAAAAUACAUUGUAUGGGUCAAAAUUACCCAGACCCUGACGUGACGCUAAGCACUUUUGCACAUCAAAUGCAUUUCUUACAAAUACAAGUAUUGGCAUGGAUUUAAGGGUACACACACUUUAUAAAUGAGGCCCCUGGACACUGGUUUCUCAACGUAAGUCUUUAGCUAAUAUGUAACUAUUACAAAUGUAACUGGUACAAUUGGUAGCACAGAGCCAAAUUUUUUGCAGGUGCAUGUAUUUUGGAAUGAAAACAAUAACAGUUUUUACAAAUAUUCUUUAAUGGAUGUGUAACUUGUUAGUUACUAUUCAAAAGUUCUACCUUUAAUUCAGAGGUAAGAGACAUGGCAUGUGAGCUCUUUAUCCAGCAUUGAGACUUGGCAGCAAAGAGCUGUUUUACUUUAAAACACACAUUUAUGGCCAGAGCUGUUCAUUAAUACACGUUAAAUGCAAGUAUGGUGUCUGGUUCUUAGCAAUGAAUUCCAUUAUCUUCCAAAUGACCAUCAAUUGUGUGACACCAGGUUGUGUCUGCUAUGUAAACCAAGACAUUGUGAAUCAAAUGCACAGAUGCUCAAGACUUCACAGGUCUUGCUUCCAAAGCAAUUUUAGAUUGAUCAACUUGAUUCAUCCAAUCCUAGAGGUGACAGUGCCUACUCAAAUUCUCUGAACUGUUCCACAAAUGAAAUUCUCUUCAUUGUGCAUGUUCUGAAAGUUGUGCAAGCUCUGAAAGUCAAACUUUCUUUCAAAGUGUUGGAAGCGCAAAAAUUUUUGCAAAUAGCAUUUAAGAAUUUGUAGAUAUUUUGAUUAGAACUAAAACAAAACAAAAUUAAGUAACUUAAGCCUUUUUUUUUUCUUUCUUUUUUUUUUUUUUUUUUUUUUUUUUUUUUUUUGCAGUGCAUGUCAUUUGGCUUAUUUAGGAAAUGUAUCUUGAUUUAAGAAUUUUUAGGUGUUUGGAUUAGAAAGACGAGUUAAAAAUACAAAAAUAAGCCUUUUUCUGCAGUGUGGAGAAAAGUCAGUGUUGUAUAGAUUCAAUUGACUCCGAUCUGUGUUCUUCACCACACCACUUUGCCUGGAGUGUUUUUAAGUUUGACAAAAUUGCUAAAUAUUUUAUUGUUGAAUAUUUUCUUCUAAAGCUCAGUUGCAGUACAGCUGCUUCCCAGCCCAUGAAAGAUCAUCAAAACCAAGGAACAAGAAUGCAAUUAUCAGUGUUUUUUCCAGUCCUUGUUCUGUAGAUUUAUGUAUGAAAAAAUAAAUUAAAUUUGCUUAUUUGAUAGAAUAUUCCAACCCAGACAGACUGACCGGACUGUGGUGUGUUCAUGCUGAUGGUAAGCUGUGAAUAUACAGCCUCUGCGCAGUUAUGGUGAUGGCAAAAGAUUUGUGUAAUUUGCAUGCAGUAUUUGAGAUGAAGAUGGUCCAGUGUUAUGUGUACUUAAAACAAAAGUACAGAACAGUUGGUGACAGUAAAUUCUAUUAUUUGCAUUUUCUCAAUGGUAUUUGUUGUCUUAGUAUGUACUCUAUAUGGCCCUGGACUGGACAUUUGACUUUAAUAUAUAUAAAAUUUACCUAACCUUUGAGUCUGUCUUUAGGUUGUCAAGAGUCCACCAUCACCAAACAGUCACCCAGUACAGAAAACUCUCCCACAAACACAACGUAUUUUCUAUUUUUAACAGAAGUGUGAAUAGAACCUGAAGUGGAAGUUCAUAAGAGACAUUGGUCUGUUUUUUUUCGUUUGUUUGUUUGUUUGUUUUAUAAAUAUAAAAAUACCCAAUGAAAUAAAGGAUCUUUUUAUUGAUCUUUACGUAUCUGAAAGACCUGGACACAUUUAUAUAAAGUGUUUAUGAACAAGGAACUGAAGGACAAUGAUAUAUUGCUUAACUUAUAUGAUCUAUCAAAGCAAGCAAUGUCUCUGACCUACUUAUGUGUUUCCACACAAGACAUGUACAAACAACAUGAACGUGUAAAUCAUGCAUGAUUGCUUGUGUAUAUAAUUAAAAGGAAAGAAAUAUACUUAAAACCAAAUGAACCGUAUACAUUUGCCAAAAUCACAGAAAAAAAAAUCACAUUAUAAUAUCACAUUUUAAUAUUGCAAGAUCACGUCACAACCCUAGAAGGUGUACUCAGUUACGAAUCGUGAUAUUAAAAUUAGCAAAGUAAUUAUUUUGAUUAAUUUGUACCUAAGUACAAGUAA